UGGGGAAUUUUGGACAAUGGGCGCAAGCCUGAUCCGGCCAUGCCGCGUGCGGGAAGAAGGCCUUCGGGUUGUAAACCGCUUUUGUCAGGGAAGAAAUCUUCAGAGUUAAUACCUCGGGAGGAUGACGGUACCUGAAGAAUAAGCACCGGCUAACUACGUGCCAGCAGCCGCGGUAAUACGUAGGGUGCAAGCGUUAAUCGGAAUUACUGGGCGUAAAGCGUGCGCAGGCGGUUUUGUAAGACAGAGGUGAAAUCCCCGGGCUCAACCUGGGAACUGCCUUUGUGACUGCAAGGCUUGAGUGCGGCAGAGGGGGGAUGGAAUUCCGCGUGUAGCAGUGAAAUGCGUAGAUAUGCGGAGGAACACCGAUGGCGAAGGCAAUCCCCUGGGCCUGCACUGACGCUCAUGCACGAAAGCGUGGGGAGCAAACAGGAUUAGAUACCCUGGUAGUCCACGCCCUAAACGAUGUCAACUGGUUGUUGGGAAGGUUCCUUCUCAGUAACGUAGCUAACGCGUGAAGUUGACCGCCUGGGGAGUACGGCCGCAAGGUUG
rnacentral:rRNA from 1 species